UACGGAGGGAGCUAGCGUUGUUCGGAUAUACUGGGCGUAAAGCGCACGUAGGCGGCGCCGUAAGUCAGGGGUGAAAUCCCGGAGCUCAACUCCGGAACUGCCCUUGAAACUGCAAUGCUAGAAUCUUGGAGAGGCGAGUGGAAUUCCGAGUGUAGAGGUGAAAUUCGUAGAUAUUCGGAAGAACACCAGUGGCGAAGGCGACUCGCUGGACAAGUAUUGACGCUGAGGUGCGAAAGCGUGGGGAGCAAACAGG
rnacentral:rRNA from 1 species